UUAAGUUCAGCGGGUAGUCCUACCUGAUUUGAGGUCAAGAUUGGUCAUUUGUCUUUGCAGACGGUUAGAAGCCAGUCCCCCAGUAAAGGGUCUCCAAACCAGCAGCGUAGAUAGAUUAUCACACCGUUGGGAUAGAGGUACAAGACCUGCUAAUACAUUUAAGGAGAGCAAACCGCAGUUAGACUGCAGCCUGCAAUGCU
rnacentral:misc_RNA from 1 species